rnacentral:rRNA from 1 species
AACGAACGCUGGCGGCAUGCCUAACACAUGCAAGUCGAACGAGACCUUCGGGUCUAGUGGCGCACGGGUGCGUAACGCGUGGGAACCUGCCCUUAGGUUCGGAAUAACUCCCCGAAAGGGGUGCUAAUACCGGAUAAUGUCUUCGGACCAAAGAUUUAUCGCCUUUGGAUGGGCCCGCGUUGGAUUAGCUAGUUGGUAGGGUAAAAGCCUACCAAGGCGGCGAUCCAUAGCUGGUCUGAGAGGAUGAUCAGCCACACUGGGACUGAGACACGGCCCAGACAGGGAGAGAAGGCAGCAGUGGGGAAUCGUCCGCAAUGGGCAAAGGGGUGAGGUUGAAACGCCGCGUGGGUGAUGAAGGUCUUCGGAUCGGAAAACACUGUGAUAAGGGAAGAAGAUAUGUGUACGGAACAGUGGACGCCAUCACCGGAGCUAAAGAGAAAACAACGGCUAGCUCCGUG